GACGAACGCUGGCGGCGUGCUUAACACAUGCAAGUCGAGCGGUAAGGCCCUUCGGGGUACACGAGCGGCGAACGGGUGAGUAACACGUGGGUGACCUGCCCUCCACUUCGGGAUAAGCCUGGGAAACUGGGUCUAAUACCGGAUAGGACCAAAGAUCGCAUGGUUUUUGGUGGAAAGUUUUUUCGGUGGGGGAUGGGCCCGCGGUCUAUCAGCUUGUUGGUGGGGUGAUGGCCUACCAAGGCGACGACGGAUAGCCGGCCUGAGAGGGUGAUGGGCCACACUGGGACUGAGACACGGCCCAGACUCCUACGGGAGGCAGCAGUGGGGAAUCUUGCGCAAUGGGCGGAAGCCUGACGCAGCAACGCCGCGUGGGGGAUGACGGCCUUCGGGUUGUAAACCUCUUUCGCGAUCGACGAAGGUCCACCUUUUUGGUGGGUUGACGGUAGGUCGAGAAGAAGCACCGGCCAACUACGUGCCAGCCGCCGCAGUAAAAC
rnacentral:rRNA from 1 species